rnacentral:lncRNA from 1 species
CCGCACCACACCGCCUCAGGCUGCGCUCCCUGAAGCAGACUGUUCGGAAGCUUCAGAGGAAAGACUGGGGGGCGCUGCUGCUACUUUCUCGUCCCCGCCCCUCGCCUGGGUGAGGAGGGCUGCGGGGACGCGGCUUGCUGCACACCAACACCCACCUCCGCGCUGAACACCCCGGAGGAGGUCUGCAGGGUAGAGGUGCAAUGAUUACGGGAGUGGAAGAAGAGCCAUAAUUUUAAUUGCACGGAGGAAAAAGCUAGCGAGGCUGGAAAAGACCCCCAAACUCAAGGCCACUCUGGCGAGAGAGCCUGGAAACGCCCAAAAUACGCCGGGUCUGGACCCCGUGUUUAAAGGACACACGUUCAGCCUUCCUCUAGUCUCCCUUGCCUCCUUCCUCUCUGCUUUGCUCGGUGUGAAAAUGGACCCAGAGACUCGGAGCUUUGGCGAAAUUCCAGAGAGUCACGUGGGGAAAGGGAGAAGCGAGGAGGGAGGAGACUCUGUCAGUGGAACACAACGCGGUCUGGGAGCUGUGGGUCCAGCUGCGCCCCCAGAUGCCAAUGGCUGGGAAAGUAACAUCAGGACACGGCCGACUGGGGCGCGCACUUGAAGAGCAGAGGCCUUGAUUCCCCGCCAGGACUGACUGACGGCAGCUAUUUUUAUAGGACCGAAUAAAAAUAGCUGGUCCACGUUUAAUCGUUUUAUAAGGGAACAGUUGCAUCAGAGAGAUGCUGACUGGGUUCUGAUUGGCCCAGAGAAGAAACGUCUCGGGUCCCUCAAUUGAGUCGGGAUGGGCGAAACUGUUGGAGGGGAAGCAGUUGCAUGAGCUGUGCUGGCGGGGGUCCCACUUGUUUCCAGUCUUCACGAACACCAUGACGCGGGCCCACGUUCUAACGUGCACUGACGCCACUUGGAACAAUUCACUUUUCCGAAUAACUGGAAUAACUUGAAACUGGCAGGUCCCUGUCAGUGUUACUAUUCAGCCAGAACAAAGGAGAACCUCUGACAACCUGGCUCUGAAUCUUAAGUAUUUGGAGGACCCAGGGUUUGCACAUUUCGCCCUCAGUCUCUCUGUUGGGCUGUGGUCAUUCUAGGGACAGAGGUUGUAUCAUCUUUGUAUAAUUGAAGCACAUAGUAGGUGCUCUUUAAACAUUUGUUGAAAUAAUGGAUUAAGUGCCUGAGAGCAGCGGCCAUAUCAAGGGGAGCUGCGGGCCUUAACCUCCUCCCAAAAAAAGACCCCUCCCUUUUUAUUUAGAAAGUAGGGCCUGUGCGGUGGCUCACGCCUGUAAUCCCAGCACUUUGGGAGGCCAAGGCAGGCAGAUCACGACGUCAGGAGUUCGAGACCAGCCUGGCCAACAUGGUGAAACCCCAUUUCCACUAAAAAUACAAAAAUUAGCCACGUGUGGUGGCACA